rnacentral:rRNA from 1 species
CCCUACAGGACCNGACUGCUAUCGGAUUGAUACUAAGCCAUGCGAGUCAUUGUAGCAAUACAAGGCAUACGGCUCACCUACGCGUAGUCAACCUAACCUAUGGACGGGAAUAACCUCGGGAAACUGAGAAUAAUGCCCGAUAGAACAUUAUGCCUGGAAUGGUUUAUGUUCCAAAUGAUUUAUCGCCGUAGGAUGGGACUGCGGCCUAUCAGUUUGUUGGUGAGGUAAUGGCCCACCAAGACUAUUACAGGUACGGGCUCUGAGAGGAGUAGCCCGGAGAUGGGUACUGAGACACGGACCCAGGCCCUAUGGGGCGCAGCAGGCGAGAAAACUUUGCAAUGUGCGAAAGCACGACAAGGUUAAUCCGAGUGGUUUCUGCUAAAGAAACCUUUUGUCAGUCCUAGAAACACUGAUGAAUAAGGGGUGGGCAAGUUCUGGUGU